rnacentral:rRNA from 1 species
ACUCAAAGGAAUAGACGGGGACCCGCACAAGCGGUGGAUGAUGUGGAUUAAUUCGAUGCAACGCGAAAAACCUUACCUACCCUUGACAUGUACGGAAGGCCGAAGAGAUUUGGCUGUGCUCGAAAGAGAACCGUAACACAGGUGCUGCAUGGCUGUCGUCAGCUCGUGUCGUGAGAUGUUGGGUUAAGUCCCGCAACGAGCGCAACCCUUGUCAUUAGUUGCUACGAAAGGGCACUCUAAUGAGACUGCCGGUGACAAACCGGAGGAAGGUGGGGAUGACGUCAAGUCCUCAUGGCCCUUAUGGGUAGGGCUUCACACGUCAUACAAUGGUACAUACAGAGCGCCGCCAACCCGCGAGGGGGAGCUAAUCGCAGAAAGUGUAUCGUAGUCCGGAUUGUAGUCUGCAACUCGACUACAUGAAGUUGGAAUCGCUAGUAAUCGCGGAUCAGCAUGUCGCGGUGAAUACGUUCCCGGGUCUUGCACACACCGCCCGU